rnacentral:rRNA from 1 species
ACGCUCGACACCUACGGGAGGCAGCAGUGGGGAAUAUUGCACAAUGGGCGCAAGCCUGAUGCAGCCAUGCCGCGUGUGUGAAGAAGGCCUUCGGUUGUAAAGCACUUUCAGUCAGGAGGAAAGGUUAGUAGUUAAUACCUGCUAGCGGUGACGUUACUGACAGAAGAAGCACCGGCUAACUCCGUGCCAGCAGCCGCGGUAAUACGGAGGGUGCGAGCGUUAAUCGGAAUUACUGGGCGUAAAGCGUACGCAGGCGGUUUGUUAAGCGAGAUGUGAAAGCCCCGGGCUCAACCUGGGAACUGCAUUUCGAACUGGCAAACUAGAGUGUGAUAGAGGGUGGUAGAAUUUCAGGUGUAGCGGUGAAAUGCGUAGAGAUCUGAAGGAAUACCGAUGGCGAAGGCAGCCACCUGGGUCAACACUGACGCUCAUGUACGAAAGCGUGGGGAGCAAACAGGAUUAGAUACCCGAGUAGUCCA